CUGCCAAAGCCUAUCACUGAGAUCCAUAUGUUUGUGUUUUUUUUUUUCAGCAGUGCUUCCUCUUCUUGCUGCAGAUCAUCUGAACUUCCGUAGGUGUCUCCAGUCAAUCAGACCCUGACAUCUGUAAUCCAGCUAAUCUGCAGCAAACAGGGCAGGGAUGGCUGGAAAACAAGACUUUACUUGUUGGCGUUCUUAAUACUGUCCACAAAGAAUUCAUUGCAGGCGACAGUCAGCGCAGCGACCAGAACCACAAACUCCUGAAAGUCGACUUCCCCGUCCUUGUUUUCAUCCAGGUCGGUCAUGAUCUUCUCCACAACACUCGCCUGGUUUGGACCCUAAAAAUUAUACAUUUUUCAAUUUUAUUUCUCCUAUUCUGAUUGAUUUUAAUCUUAUCAAAGUAUGUUUUUUGUAAUUAGCAGGAAACUUACAGCCAGGAAUUCUGAGAGUUCCUCCUGCAGCAUGUUCUUCAGCUCUUUUUUGUUGAGCUUGUACUUGUCCCCCUCUUUCCCAGAGUAUUUGUAGAACACUGUGAUGAGGUCCUCCAUUGCUCCUUGCAGGUUGGCACUCAUUUUGCAACCCUAAAAUUAAAGAGAAGAACAUUUUAAGAAAGGAAGGAAAUCUGCUCACUUUACAUGAAAUGAGAGAAGAGAAAUUCAGAUUUUAAUCAAAGUUUUUACAAAAAAAAAAAACUAGAAGUUGGUAACAUAUGCUACAUGCACACGUCUGCUUGUAAACAAUUAAUUACCAUUGUUUGCAGUAUUUUCUGCAGCAUUUAUUGUGAAUAAAAAUAGGAAAAUGGUUGAUAAGUUUCAGCAAAUGUUUAGAAAUAUUCAGGAAUCAGAAGCUACUAUUGUAAAUGCAUUAAAAAA